CCUCAGAUGUGUCUACUAGUCUGGGCUCAAUCACAGAUUAGGGGCAACAUCUGGGCUA
rnacentral:pre_miRNA from 1 species